rnacentral:rRNA from 1 species
GACGAACGCUGGCGGUGUGCUUAACACAUGCAAGUCGAACGGUAAGGCCCUUUCGGGGGUACACGAGUGGCGAACGGGUGCGUAACACGUGAGUAACCUGCCCUCAUCUCUGGGAUAACAGUCGGAAACGGUUGCUAAUACUGGAUAUGAGCUUGCAAGGCAUCUUGUGGGUUGGAAAGAUUUUUUUGGUUGGGGAUGGACUCGCGGCCUAUCAGCUUGUUGGUGAGGUAGUGGCUCACCAAGGCUUCGACGGGUAGCCGGCCUGAGAGGGCGACCGGCCACAUUGGGACUGAGAUACGGCCCAAACUCCUACGGGAGGCAGCAGUGGGGAAGAUUGCACAAUGGACGGAAGUCUGAUGCAGCAACGCCGCGUGCGGGAUGACGGCCUUCGGGUUGUAAACCGCUUUCAAUUGUGACGAAGCUUUUUGUGACGGUAGCAGUAGAAGAAGCACCGGCUAACUACGUG